CCCUACCUGCAUUAUCUCCCACAGCCUGCACUGCUAACCCAGGAUGGGCAAGUGGAGGAUGAAAUACAGGAGAGAAGAAACAAAGUUGGCUUACACUUUUAGGAAUUUUCCCCUAAGGAAAUCACGAGGAAAGAGGAGAAAGCUUCAAGCGUUUGUCUUUGGAGACUUCACAAAUAUCAGGGCCCAAGGUGGUCUAGACCCUAGGAGCUGGAUAACGCAGCAGAAGAUGAAAUUCUUUCAGAGGCGGCUCGUGAACAGCUUCCCAUUCAUGCACGGGAAACUCCUGCAUAAAAAUGCUACCAGUUCUCCCCAUUUACACACUCAGCCUCUUGAGAUUCACUUAAGGAACAAGAAAAAGAGAAAGCUAAAAUAAGCCCUACAGGGGACUUGGCACCAUAGCUAGAAACCACCAAGCAACCAAGAAGACACACGCGAGGAAGUUUCUAAGCAGGCUGGAAAUCAAAGCAACUCCGAUUCGGAAUAUCUUUGAGUGUCUGUCCUCUGUCCUUCAGAUCGGCAGAGAGAUUCCAGAGAAGCAGCAGCGGGGGCCACAAGGCCGCGCUCCACAGCCCUGCCAGCCUCCGGGGAGGAGGAAGUCGGCGGAGCGCUGGGUUUUUGCAAGCACAAAGGGCGGGGGAAGAGCGGAGCGGCGCGGGCCUGUGGAGCGAUGCUGCCAUCAAGCGGCCAGAGUUUCCCUGAGCGACGAACAGCGGCCGGGAGGACGCUGUCUUGGCGGCCCGGUCUCUGCUCUUAGACCCGGAGGAUCCACUAGGGGACCGGAGCGAGAUGAACGCGAAGGGGAAAGCCCCAGCGGCGCGAGCCGGAAGCCCGCCGAGCGGCCGGCGGGGCUGGCCCGGAAGCCGACUGACCCUCGCGAGGCGGGAGCGCGCCUCCAGAAGGCCCGGCCCCGAAGCCGGAGCAACGGCAGGCAGCCGGAGGCUCCGGCUGUUGGAGCGCGGCCGUCCCGGGGCGGGAGCGCCAGGGCCGACGGGAAGUGUGGCCUUGGGCGUCAGGGUUGUAGGGAAUUCGGACGGUCCUUUCGGGCCCGUGGCCGGAGUUUAACUUGUGGACGGCUUCUCCUGUUCUCCGUGCUAGCGGACACUGCCGGGACGGCUGAGAGCGAGGAGGAAGCCGUUCAGGCCCCGGACCCAUCCUAAAUGGCGUCCAGACGACAGCCGCACCAAACCGGCCCGCUGAUAAUCAAUCUGGCAGCCAGAAUAAUGCCACCGAAACCUACAAUCGGAUCACGUGAUGCCUCUGCUCCAAACCAACAGCGUUCGUUGCUCUUCAGGGUAAACUAGGAGUCCUUGUGAUCGCCGACAAGGCCAUCUGUGACGUGGCCACUAGUUCCCUCUCUUCCCUGAUCUCCUAGGACCCUCCUCCUUUCUCACUCCCCUUUGCCUACGGUGACCUCCUUCCUGCUCCCAAAGUGAGGGCUUUGGCACCUUCUGUUCUUUCAGCCUGGAGCAUUCUUUCCCCAGAUGUCUGCAUGGCUACCUCCGUCAUCUCUUUCAUGACUUCGAAUAAAUGUCACCUUUCAAUAUGGCUCGCUCCUACACUUAUUAUUUCAAGUGUCACCACCUCACCCCCUUCACUCACUCACACACACACACACACACACACACACACACUUCCCAUUUACCCGGUCUUCUUCUGUUCUGUCUUGAAUGCACGUUGUUCUGUCAACACGUUAUGUAAUUUAUUUCCUUAUUAUAAUUGUUUGCUUGUCUCUGCCCACUAGAAGGCAAGCUCCUCAAAGCCAGGGUUUUUGUUGUUGUCUAGUAUGUGUGCUCGGUUGUUCCCUAAUUUAUCCCAAAGGUGACUGGCACGUAGUAGGUGC
ensembl:lncRNA